rnacentral:rRNA from 1 species
CGAACGGCUCCGUAUAUCUGUUGUCACCUAUCGUGGUAAAUACGGCGUGGAUAGAGCACGGAAAAGCUGUGUAUAACACAGAACAGUGGGGUCACCGCUGCCCGUUGGCAUGGGCAGUGGGGAUAAGUGGGCCCAUACGUAUGGGCCCCACCUCAUGAACGGCUCUUAAAGUAGUACAGGGACUAAAGACCCCUGGGCGAAACAGAGGCCUCUGCCUCGGACAUGUCUACCAACUGCCUUGACCGGGGUUGGUCUUGUCUGAGCGCGGCAGAGCCCAUCCACAAGCGCACGAUGGACUUCAGACCUAUCAGCUAGACGGUAGGGUAUUGGCCUACCGUGGCGAUGACGGGUACAGAGGAUUAGGGUUUGAUCCUGGAGAGGUAGCCUGAGAAAUCGCUCCCACUUCUAAGGAAGGCAGCAGGCGCGUAACGUUCCCAAUGCUAGUACCCCUAGUGAGGACGUAAUGGGACAUAACAAUACCCCUUAUUGUUAGUGGGUAAUUGACAAUGGGGCGGGCAUAAAACCCCUGCCGAGAAGCGACUGGAGGACAAGUCUG